GACGAACGCUGGCGGCGUGCUUAACACAUGCAAGUCGAGCGGAAAGGCCACUUCGGUGGUACUCGAGCGGCGAACGGGUGAGUAACACGUGAGUAAUCUGCCCUGGACUUUGGGAUAGCCACCGGAAACGGUGAUUAAUACCGGAUAUGACCUGAUGCCGCAUGGUGUUGGGUGGAAAGUUUUUCGGUCAGGAUGUGCUCGCGGCCUAUCAGCUUGAUGGUGGGGUAAUGGCCUACCAUGGCUUCGACGGGUAGCCGGCCUGAGAGGGUGACCGGCCACACUGGGACUGAGACACGGCCCAGACUCCUACGGGUGGCUG
rnacentral:rRNA from 1 species